rnacentral:misc_RNA from 1 species
UGUGGGAGCGAGCCUGCUCGCGAUAGCGUAGUGUCAGCCAACAUCAAUGUUGCCUGAUUCAACGCCAUCGCGAGCAGGCUCGCUCCCACA